rnacentral:lncRNA from 1 species
UUAUUAUUAUUGUAACUACUAUUAAUGUCGUAUACAAAAAGAUCAAAAUUGGAAAUCAACAGGAAUUUUUGCAAUCACGGAAUCCGAUACUGAAGUAUACGUCUUUAAAACAGAAACGUUUGUGAUUUUAUGUCAAUAAAUGCUUUUUAACCAAAUAAGUAUAUCGCAAAAAAGAGGCCCUUCUAAUAAUACGUGUAUCCAUUAAGUAAUGUAUAAUGAAUGCAUUAGUACGUGUUGCUAACACUACAAAAUCUUAUCUAAUAUUGUGAUAAAAGUUUAAUGAAUUUGAAAAUUUCGGAUUGCACCAAGUGAAACUGUUUAUUUUGUUAAAAAGUUCCAAUUACUUGUUAAAAAAGUAUUUUUUGUAUUUAUGCGUCUUGAUACGAAACCAAAAAAGUUUGUUGCUGUUGAGAUGGUGAUCUGAUGAUCAUGAUCAUUAUUAUGAUGCAGAGACAUUGUAGUACUUUAACCAGUCUGUGACAAUAUUUAGGGGUCUAAGAUGUAGUCGUUCGAUAAAAAUUUUAUUAUGGUUGAUGUAUAAGCGUCAGUUUGAAGCCUGAUCCUUCUUAAAAGUGUAAAUGUUGGUUUUUAAGUAACUACUUGAAAUGGUCUCAAAUUACAAUACGUUUUUAAUUGUAAGUUAUUAUUACUUUUAAUAUGUAAAUCGAACAUGAUUAUGGCUGGUGAUCUCGUUGAAGGGAUUCCCCUGUUUGCUGUAUUUAUUUCAUGUGUUAAUUAUUCAUUCACUGUGUAUCAAAAAAAGAUGUUCAAUAAAUCAUCGGUUAAACAGAAAAGGAUCCUCUAACAUUUAAUCUCAUCCUGAUAAACGUUCAUACAUUAAUAUUUGUUCCUGACCUAGUGGCGUUUCUAGCGCCACUACAUUUUGUUUUGAUUGACACUAUGAAUAUGAAUCUAUGAAUUUAUGCACCUUUGUAUAUCUAUUAUCUAUGAUGUGUUGCUAUGAUACAUUGUCUGAGCCCUAUGACACAUUGAUUAUCUAUGACACAUUAUCUUGAAAGUGAAAGCGAAUCCCCGGUACAUCGCCGUUUUAAAGUUCUGAAAUUUUACAAUUUAACUUGCUUUUCUGUGCAAGUUUUUAUUCUGUUUCAUAAUGUAUGCAUCUAAUACGGUAGUUAAUUUGCUGUUCUCUAUUUAUGGAGGAUUCUGUAGUUAAUUAAGGAACAUAGCAUUAUAAAAACUGCGGAUGCCACAAAGUCCUCCUUACCUACAGAAAGUAACUGUACUUACAAUCCCAAAGAAGGCAUGAAAAUGCCUUUCUUCUACUACGAAUGCAGUCAAUUAAAGUCAGCUAAAGGAAGGAUUUUUGACAAUGAAUUAAUUCCCCAAGAAAUGAGAAGGAAUUGCAGCAUCUUCACAUUGCAACAUUAUGCAGUUAAUUUUGGAGCUGCAAGAAGGUAGACAUCUGCAGAUUUGAAAACCGUUGAAACAAAUUGUCUACAGUCCUGCAUUUGGUUUGCUUUUCCCAGUUGUAAACUGAAACGUUACAGUUUAUAGUUAAUUUAGAUUGCCCAACAAAUGAGAAGGAAUUGAAGCAUCUUAACCUUGCAACAUUAUGCAGUUAAUUUUGGACCUGCAGAAGGUAGACAUCUGCAGAUUUGAAAACCGUUGAAACAAAUUGUCUACAGUCCUGCAUUUGGUUUGCUUUUCACCUUGCAAACUUUGGAGCGUUACAGUCUAUAGUUAAUUAAGAUCGACGUUGGAGAAGACAAAGAUGACC